UACGAAGGGGGCUAGCGUUGUUCGGAUUUACUGGGCGUAAAGCGCACGUAGGCGGAUUGUUAAGUCGGGGGUGAAAUCCUGGAGCUCAACUCCAGAAUUGCCUUCGAUACUGGCUUUCUAGAGGCUGGAAGAGGUUAGUGGAGUUCCCAGUGUAGAGGUGAAAUUCGUAGAUAUUGGGAAGAACACCAGUGGCGAAGGCGGCUAACUGGUCCAGAUCUGACGCUGAGGUGCGAAAGCGUGGGGAGCAAACAGG
rnacentral:rRNA from 1 species